GCCAAGGUGGCGGAGCGGUUACGCAAUCGCCAGCAGAGCGAUUCAGUCCUGGUUCAAAUCCGGACCUUGGCU
rnacentral:tRNA from 1 species